GGCCGUGUGCCCGAGUGGCUUAGGGGCCAGCCUGCAAAGCUGGUUACACGGGUUCGAUUCCCGUCACGGCCUCCA
rnacentral:tRNA from 1 species